rnacentral:rRNA from 1 species
GAUGUACGCUAGCUACAGGCUUAACACAUGCAAGUCGCGGGGCAGCAUGGGGGUUGCUUGCAAUCCCCGAUGGCGACCGGCGCACGGGUGAGUAACGCGUAUCCAACCUGCCCUUCACCACGGGAUAACCCGGCGAAAGUCGGACUAAUACCGUAUGUUGUCCAUUGACGGCAUCCGAUUUGGACGAAAGGCUUGGCGGUGAGGGAUGGGGAUGCGUCCGAUUAGCCAGACGGCGGGGUAACGGCCCACCGUGGCUACGAUCGGUAGGGGUUCUGAGAGGAAGGUCCCCCACACUGGAACUGAGACACGGUCCAGACUCCUACGGGAGGCAGCAGUGAGGAAUAUUGGUCAAUGGGCGUAAGCCUGAACCAGCCAAGUAGCGUGCAGGAUGACGGCCCUAUGGGUUGUAAACUGCUUUUAUGCGGGGAUAAAGUGGCCCACGUGUGGGCUUUUGCAGGUACCGCAUGAAUAAGGACCGGCUAAUUCCGUG